rnacentral:tRNA from 11 species
GCCGAAGUGGUGGAAUUGGUAGACACGUACGUUUGAGGGGCGUAUGGGCAACCGUGGGGGUUCGAGUCCCCCCUUCGGCACCA